rnacentral:rRNA from 1 species
AAGUCACGGCUAACUACGUGCCAGCAGCCGCGGUAAUACGUAGGUGGCAAGCGUUGUCCGGAUUUAUUGGGCGUAAAGCGAGUGCAGGCGGUUCAAUAAGUCUGAUGUGAAAGCCUUCGGCUCAACCGGAGAAUUGCAUCAGAAACUGUUGAACUUGAGUGCAGAAGAGGAGAGUGGAACUCCAUGUGUAGCGGUGGAAUGCGUAGAUAUAUGGAAGAACACCAGUGGCGAAGGCGGCUCUCUGGUCUGCAACUGACGCUGAGGCUCGAAAGCAUGGGUAGCGAACAGGAUUAGAUACCCUGGUAGUCCAUGCCGUAAACGAUGAGUGCUAAGUGUUGGGAGGUUUCCGCCUCUCAGUGCUGCAGCUAACGCAUUAAGCACUCCGCCUGGGGAGUACGACCGCAAGGUUGAAACUCAAAGGAAUUGACGGGGGCCCGCGACAAGCGGUGGAGCAUGUGGUUUAAUUCGAAGCAACGCGAAGAACCUUACCAGGUCUUGACAUCCAGU